UUUUUCAUGGACCCACAUUUGCUUGAAUCU
rnacentral:piRNA from 1 species